GACGAACGCUGGCGGCGUGCCUAAUACAUGCAAGUAGAACGCUGACUACUUUAGCUUGCUAGAGUAGAAGGAGUUGCGAACGGGUGAGUAACGCGUAGGUAACCUGCCUACUAGCGGGGGAUAACCAUUGGAAACGAUAGCUAAUACCGCAUAACAGUGUUUAACACAUGUUAGAUGCUUGAAAGAUGCAAUUGCAUCACUAGUAGAUGGACCUGCGUUGUAUUAGCUAGUUGGUGGGGUAACGGCCCACCAAGGCGACGAUCGGUAGCCGGACUGAGAGGAUGAUCGGCCACACUGGAACUGAAACACGGUCCAG
rnacentral:rRNA from 1 species